CGCGGGGCAACCUGGCGGCGAGCGGCGAACGGGUGAGUAAUGCAUCGGAACAUGUCCAUGUCGUGGGGGAUAGCCCGGCGAAAGCCGGAUUAAUACCGCAUACGCCCGAGAGGGGAAAGUGGGGGACCGCAAGGCCUCACGCGAUUGGGUUGGCCGAUGUCCGAUUAGCUAGUUGGCGGGGUAAGAGCCCACCAAGGCGAUGAUCGGUAGCUGGUCUGAGAGGAUGAUCAGCCACACUGGGACUGAGACACGGCCCAGACUCCUACGGGAGGCAGCAGUGGGGAAUUUUGGACAAUGGGGGCAACCCUGAUCCAGCCAUUCCGCGUGAGUGAAGAAGGCCUUCGGG
rnacentral:rRNA from 1 species